GGGAAACCGGGGCUAAUACCGGAUAACAUUUUGAACCGCAUGGUUCGAAAUUGAAAGGCGGCUUCGGCUGUCACUUAUGGAUGGACCCGCGUCGCAUUAGCUAGUUGGUGAGGUAACGGCUCACCAAGGCAACGAUGCGUAGCCGACCUGAGAGGGUGAUCGGCCACACUGGGACUGAGACACGGCCCAGACUCCUACGGGAG
rnacentral:rRNA from 1 species